AGAAAGUGAAAGGACCCCAGAGAUGCCAUGCUUGCUGCCAAGAAGAUCUUCUUCACCCCGGAUGAGAAGAUCCAAGGCGCCACCGCCGAUGAACUUGACACAACCGUGCUCUUAAAAAUUGGGUGGUGACCAAGGAUUUCUUAACUCGCAUUUCCCCGACUUUGCAAAUGCACGCCUUUUUUACCCUCAUGCGUCUCAGGAGGAAUUAUGGAAAUUAAUGAUAAAGAAUAGCGCAUAGACGACACGCAACUUUCAAUACUGUAGAAUGAUAAAGAAUAUUUGAAAUUAAUGAAUGACUUUUUUAUUA